rnacentral:rRNA from 1 species
GGACUACCAGGGUAUCUAAUCCUGUUCGCUCCCCACGCUUUCGCGCCUCAGCGUCAGUAUUGUGCCAGGCGGCUGCCUUCGCCAUCGACGUUCCUUCCGAUCUCUACGCAUUUCACCGCUACACCGGAAAUUCCGCCGCCCUCUCACAUACUCCAGCCAACCAGUUUGCGGUGCCCUUCCCAGGUUGAGCCCGGGGCUUUCACACCACACCCAAUCGACCGCCUACGCGCCCUUUACGCCCAGUAACUCCGAUUAACGCUCGCACCCUCUGUAUUACCGCGGCUGCUGGCAC